rnacentral:rRNA from 1 species
UACGGGGGGGGCAAGCGUUGUUCGGAAUUACUGGGCGUAAAGGGUUCGUAGGUGGCUUGCUAAGUCAGACGUGAAAUCCCUCAGCUUAACUGGGGAACUGCGUCUGAGACUGGCAAGCUUGAGUGCAGGAGAGGAACGCGGAAUUCCAGGUGUAGCGGUGAAAUGCGUAGAUAUCUGGGGGAACACCGGUGGCGAAGGCGGCGUUCUGGACUGUAACUGACACUGAAGAACGAAAGCCAGGGGAGCAAACGGG